rnacentral:rRNA from 1 species
UAAUACGUAGGGGGCGAGCGUUGUCCGGAAUCAUUGGGCGUAAAGGGCGUGUAGGCUGUUUUGCAAGUCAGAUGUUAAAUCUAUCGGCUCAACCGGUAACCGCAUCUGAAACUGCAAAACUAGAGAAUGGUAGAGGAAAGCGGAAUUUCAGGUGUAGCGGUGAAAUGCGUAGAUAUCUGAAAGAACACCAGUGGCGAAGGCGGCUUUCUGGGCCAUUUCUGACGCUGAGACGCGAAAGCUAGGGGAGCAAACGGGAUUAGAUACCCCGGUAGUCCUAGCCCUAAACGAUGUUCAUUAGGUGUUAAAGGUGUCGACCCCUUUAGUGCCGUAGCUAACGCGUUAAAUGAACCGCCUGGGAAUUACGAUCGCAAGAUUA